rnacentral:rRNA from 1 species
AACGCUAGCUACAGGCUUAACACAUGCAAGUCGAGGGGCAGCAUUGGAGUAGCAAUACUUCAGAUGGCGACUGGCGCACGGGUGAGUAACACGUAUCCAACCUGCCGCUUACUCGGGGAUAGCCUUUCGAAAGAAAGAUUAAUACCCGAUGGUAUAAAGAGUUCGCAUGUUCUCUUUAUUAAAGAAUUUCGGUAAGCGAUGGGGAUGCGUUCCAUUAGAUUGUUGGCGGGGUAACGGCCCACCAAGUCUACGAUGGAUAGGGGUUCUGAGAGGAAGGUCCCCCACAUUGGAACUGAGACACGGUCCAAACUCCUACGGGAGGCAGCAGUGAGGAAUAUUGGUCAAUGGACGCGAGUCUGAACCAGCCAAGUAGCGUGAAGGAUGACUGCCCUAUGGGUUGUAAACUUCUUUUAUAAGGGAAUAAAGUGAGGGACGUGUCCCUUUUUGUAUGUACCUUAUGAAUAAGGAUCGGCUAACUCCGUGCCAGCAGCCGCGGUAAUACGGAGGAUCCAAGCGUUAUCCGGAUUUAUUGGGUUUAAAGGGAGCGUAGGUUGACAUAUAAGUCAGCUGUGAAAGUUUACGGCUCAACCGUGAAAUUGCAGUUGAUACUGUAUGUCUUGAGUGUACAAGAGGUGGGCGGAAUUCGUGGUGUAGCGGUGAAAUGCUUAGAUAUCACGAAGAACUCCGAUUG